UGCACUAAGUGGGCCCCACCAAGACAUGUGACCAAAUUUAAUUGGCUCAAGCCUUGAGUGGGACACUUGUCACUCUUAGGGGCUGCCUAUAUAAGGAAAAAUCUGAUGUUUAAGUGUUCAUUUUAUCAUCUUCAACAUUACAAGAAAAGAGAAAAACCUAGAGAUAGAGAAGGGGGGGCUCACGGCCAUGGUGAAAAAAAUCCAUGUUCACCAAGCUUGGUCCAAUUAAUUUUUCCAUGGUGUUGUAAAUCAAAUGGAGGUCUUUGGGAACAUGAAUUGGUCCUUGAGAGCAGCAAGAAUGGUCUUUAAUUGAAGCCAUUAAAUUCAGCAAAUUAAGGAGCAACUUGCUAAGACCUUGGGCAGCCCGAAUCAUAGGUUGGAUUUAGCUUGAGUUUGGAUCGUAUUGGAGAGCGUUUGAGGUACAGACGCACACCCUGGUGAUCCACCUGUUUAGGACACCCUUUCUGCUAUUCGGAGUGCUCCUCUCUUUCCGGAGCUUAUACUUUUGGCCCUCUUCACUAGUGCUUUGGUCUUGCCUAAUCAGGUGAAAUCGUUACUGAAGAGUGACCAGGACAACAUGCCAAAUUUCAGAUUCAGGGUAAAGAGGAAUCAAUUCCAGAUUCCAUAAUGACGUCCAUUUUUUGCUUAAAGCCUUCUCGUAUGGACCUGGCUAGCUAUUGGUCAUCAAGAUGUUUAUUAAUAUCACUCCAAUCAUGGAUUAUGUCUAUGCUCAACCUGGCAUUCUCUUGCACAAAGACGGGGUUUUUAUUCUAAGAAUUACUCAGGAUGACAUGUUCAUCUUCUUGUGUAAAGAGAGAGUCCCUGAAUUUCCAUUCUUGAUCAUUGCAUUUAGUUGGUCCUUAGGAUUUAUCUUUUCAGUGUAUCAAGUUUCAUAUGUUAUGGAGGUAUUGGCUUUAAGUCCCCCUCCCACCUGUAACGUCUCUUUUGCCGAAAAUAAACAUGGUAGGUGUCCUUGCCAAACCCCCCACCACCACGGGAAGUGAAAGACUGGGUGGAUGGCUUGAAAAAAAAAAACUAUAAGGUGAUGAAGUGGACUGGGCUGGGUUAUAUUUCAUUCAGUGAAUUAACUCUCUUUCUGAAAGCAAUUGUGGUUUCUGAAAUUAGGGGGAAAACAAAGAAAAUUAUAUUGACUUCUUUUCACAUUCUUUGUAUGCAAAUAUCAUCACGCCAGGCUUUUGUCCCAGAGAGCAGCUCUAGUGUUAGAUAAUGUUACACGGACCAAUUCUUACUUUGUAGGGGUGGUAAUCAGUGUCUGUUUGUGCUGUUUUUUCCUGAACAAUUAUUUUGUAUAAGUAGACUAAUACAAAAGAGCCUCUAUAUCUGAGGUAUUUCAAAAAAGGAGAUGUCAUAUCUUGGUGUUUACUAAAAUAUACUCCCUCCAGUCAUGUUAUAUGAUGGUGUUGAAGUAGAUACACUUUUAAAAACUUUUGAUAAUAAGUUAAAUAUGUAUAAUAUUCCAAAAGUACGCUUAGUAUAUAAUGGUCAUCCACGUGCACAUGUCGUUAAAGAAAUAUGGGAAUGUUAAAAAAUAAACACUUUUUAAAUAUAGAAAUGUUUAAAUAUUUUUGGAAUAGACCAAAAAAGGAAAGAGUGCCAUUUAAUGGAAGGAGGGAGCUGAUAGAAUAUGAGAUAUAGUACUAAACAACUAAUAUUUGAUCCAGUAAAGCUGACAUUUAUACGAUUGAAAUACAAUCUGGCUGUUGCUUUUUUCAAUUUCAAA